CUAGAAAGGAAUCCUUUGUGUUUUGAAUCUGAUUACCCUGUAAAAUUACCUUCCAUCCUGAUUUUACAGAGGUGUUUCUUUUACUUUGUUUUUUCUUUCUAAUAAAAUUCUGUUUUUUUAAAGAAUCUGAUUGGCUUUAGUGUCCUAAAAAGCCAGGGAUUUGGUCUUUGCUCACCUUGUUGACCUAUUUGG